rnacentral:rRNA from 2 species
UGGGGAAUAUUGCACAAUGGGGGAAACCCUGAUGCAGCGACGCCGCGUGGAGGAAGAAUGUCUUCGGAUUGUAAACUCCUGUCUUCGGGACGAUAAUGACGGUACCCGAGGAGGAAGCCACGGCUAACUACGUGCCAGCAGCCGCGGUAAAACGUAGGUGGCAAGCGUUGUCCGGAAUUACUGGGUGUAAAGGGAGCGCAGGCGGGACGGUAAGUUGGGAGUGAAAUCUAUGGGCUCAACCCAUAAAUUGCUUUCAAAACUAUCGUUCUUGAGUGGUGUAGAAGUAGGCGGAAUUCCCGGUGUAGCGGUGGAAUGCGUAGAUAUCGGGAGGAACACCAGUGGCGAAGGCGGCCUACUGGGCACUAACUGACGCUGAGGCUCGAAAGCAUGGGUAGCAAACAGG